CAGCAGCCGCGGUAAUGCGUAGGUGGCAAGCGUUGUCCGGAAUUAUUGGGCGUAAAGCGCGCGCAGGCGGCCUAUCCAGUCUGUCUUAAAAGUUCGGGGCUCAACCCCGUGAUGGGAUGGAAACUAGUAGGCUAGAGUAUCGGAGAGGAUAGCGGAAUUCCUAGUGUAGCGGUGAAAUGCGUAGAUAUUAGGAAGAACACCAGUGGCGAAGGCGGCUUUCUGGACGAAAACUGACGCUGAGGCGCGAAAGCCAAGGGAGCGAACGGGAUUAGAUACCCCCGUAGUCCCUGUCUCUUAUACA
rnacentral:rRNA from 1 species